rnacentral:rRNA from 1 species
AGAGUUUGAUCCUGGCUCAGAGCGAACGCUGGCGGCAUGCUUAACACAUGCAAGUCGCACGGUAUGGGGGCAACUCCAUGCAGUGGCGGACGGGUGAGUAACGCGUAGGAAUCUAUCCUUGGAUGGGGGACAACCGUGGGAAACUACGGCUAAUACCGCAUGAUGCCUGAGGGCCAAAGCUCGCGAGAGCGUCUGGGGAGGAGCCUGCGUCUGAUUAGGUAGUUGGUGGGGUAAAGGCCUACCAAGCCUGCGAUCAGUAGCUGGUCUGAGAGGAUGAUCAGCCACAUUGGGACUGAGACACGGCCCAAACUCCUACGGGAGGCAGCAGUGGGGAAUAUUGGACAAUGGGGGCAACCCUGAUCCAGCAAUGCCGCGUGGGUGAAGAAGGUUUUCGGAUUGUAAAGCCCUUUUGGCGGGGACUAUGAUGACGGUACCCGCAAAAUAAGCUCCGGCUAACUUCGUGCCAGCAGCCGCGGUAAUACGAAGGGGGCUAGCGUUGCUCGGAAUGACUGGGCGUAAAGGGCGCGUAGGCGGCUUGCAUAGUUAGGCGUGAAAUUCCUGGGCUCAACCUGGGGACUGCGUCUAAUACAUGCAGGCUUGAGUGUGAAAGAGGGUCGUGGAAUUUCCAGU